rnacentral:rRNA from 1 species
UACGUAGGGGGCAAGCGUUGUCCGGAUUUAUUGGGCGUAAAGAGCGUGUAGGCGGUUAGGUAGGUCCGUUGUGAAAACUCGAGGCUCAACCUCGAGACGCCGAUGGAAACCAUCUGACUAGAGUCCGGAAGAGGAGAGUGGAAUUCCUGGUGUAGCGGUGAAAUGCGCAGAUAUCAGGAAGAACACCCGUUGCUAAGUCUGCUCUCUAGUACGGUACUGACGCUGAGACGCGAAAGCGUUGGGAGCGAACAGG